CGGAGGAGGAAGAACCACAGGGAUUGCCUCAGUAACGGCGAGUGAAGCGGCACAAUUCUCAAAUUUGAAAGCUGGCUCCGUUGGGGGCCCGCGUUGUAAUUUGUAGAGGAUGCUUCGGGUGCGGCGCUGGUCUAAGUUCCUUGGAACAGGACGUCAUGGAGGGUGAGAAUCCCGUAUGUGACUGGCCGCCUGCGCCCGUGUGAAGCUCCUUCGACGAGUCGAGUUGUUUGGGAAUGCAGCUCAAAAUGGGUGGUAAAUUUCAUCUAAAGCUAAAUACUGGCCAGAGACCGAUAGCGCACAAGUAGAGUGAUCGAAAGAUGAAAAGCACUUUGGAAAGAGAGUUAAACAGUACGUGAAAUUGUUGAAAGGGAAGCGCUUGCAAUCAGACUUGCGCGGCGUCGAUCAGCCUGGGUUCUCCCUGGUGCACUCGGCGCGGCGCAGGCCAGCAUCGGUUCUGGCGGUGGGAUAAAGGCCUAGGGAACGUGGGUCGCCUCGGCGACUGUUAUAGCCCUAGGUGCCAUGCCGCCUGCUGGGACCGAGGACCGCGCUUCGGCUAGGAUGCUGGCGUAAUGGUUGUAAGCGACCCGUCUUGAAACACGGACCAAGGAGUCUAACAUCUAUGCGAGUGUUUGGGUGUCAAACCCAUGCGCGGAAUGAAAGUGAACGGAGGUGAGAACCCUGAAGGGUGCAUCAUCGACCGAUCCUGAUGUCUUCGGAUGGAUUUGAGUAAGAGCAUAGCUGUUGGGACCCGAAAGAUGGUGAACUAUGCCUGAAUAGGGUGAAGCCAGAGGAAACUCUGGUGGAGGCUCGCAGCGGUUCUGACGUGCAAAUCGAUCGUCAAAUUUGGGUAUAGGGGCGAAAGACUAAUCGAACCAUCUGGGAAAUAGCAAAAAUUUAACGCUACUUGGUGGUUGAGAGGGGUAUGGUUUGCAUACAUCUAGUUUCUGAAGAGAAGCAAUACUGCAAAAUUGCGGGGAUGCUCUGAUGGUUCUGGCCACUACCAGUCCUGGAAACGGGGCUGCAUAGUAAUAACGCCAGAGACUUGGGUGAUCCGCAGCCAGCUUCUAAGGCCCCUCGGGCUAAGAAGCGGGUUCAUCGACUAGAUGGCAGUGGGUUGGAUCCCGCGUGGGAGGCUGGCUUAAGGUAUAGUCAGACCGUGGUAGCAAUGCUUCGGGCAAGGGACCUCAUAGUAGGUCGCAUGAC
rnacentral:rRNA from 1 species